rnacentral:rRNA from 1 species
CCUACGGGGGGCUGCAGUGGGGAAUAUUGCACAAUGGGCGCAAGCCUGAUGCAGCGACGCCGCGUGAGCGAUGAAGGCCUUCGGGUCGUAAAGCUCUGUCCUAAGGGAAGAAUAAUGACGGUACCUUAGGAGGAAGCCCCGGCUAACUACGUGCCAGCAGCCGCGGUAAUACGUAGGGGGCGAGCGUUAUCCGGAAUCACUGGGCGUAAAGGGUGCGUAGGCGGCCCUGCAAGUCAGGAGUUAAAUCCCUCGGCUCAACGGAGGUCAGCUCUUGAAACUGUAGGGCUUGAGUGCAGGAGAGGGGAGCGGAAUUCCUAGUGUGGGAGCGGAUUGCGUAGAUAUUAGGAGAGACAGCAGUGGAGAAGGCGGCGCUCUAGACGUCAACUUACGCUGGGGCACGAAAGCGUGGGGAGCGAACAGGAUUAGAUUACCUGGUAGUC